rnacentral:rRNA from 1 species
UACGUAGGGUGCGAGCGUUGUCCGGAAUUACUGGGCGUAAAGAGCUCGUAGGUGGUUUGUCGCGUUGUUCGUGAAAACUCACAGCUUAACUGUGGGCGUGCGGGCGAUACGGGCAGACUGGAGUACUGCAGGGGAGACUGGAAUUCCCGGUGUAGUGGUGAAAUGCGUAGAUAUCGGGAGGAACACCAGUGGCGAAGGCGACUACCUGGCCUGUUCUUGACGCUGAGGCGCGAAAGCUAGGGGAGCAAACGGG